CCCUCAGAUGUCCUGGGCCGCACGCGCGUUACACUGAUGCAUUCAACGAGCUUAUAACCUUGGCCGAGAGGCCUGGGCAAUCUUGUUAACGUGCAUCGUGAUAGGGAUAGAUUAUUGAAAUUAUUAAUCUUGAACGAGGAAUUCCUAGUAAACGCAGAUCAUCAAUCUGCAUUGAUUACGUCCCUGCCCUUUGUACACACCGCCCGUCGCACCUACCGAUUGGAUGGUCCGGUGAAGCCUCGGGAUUGUGGUUCUUGCCGCUUUAUUGUGGCGUGACCGCGAGAACUUGUCUAAACCUUAUCAUCUAGAGGAAGGUGAAGUCGUAACA
rnacentral:rRNA from 1 species